rnacentral:rRNA from 1 species
AUUGAACGCUGGCGGCAUGCCUUACACAUGCAAGUCGAACGGCAGCACGGGAGCAAUCCUGGUGGCGAGUGGCGAACGGGUGAGUAAUAUAUCGGAACGUGCCCAGUCGUGGGGGAUAACGUAGCGAAAGCUACGCUAAUACCGCAUACGAUCUAUGGAUGAAAGCGGGGGAUCGCAAGACCUCGCGCGAUUGGAGCGGCCGAUAUCAGAUUAGGUAGUUGGUGAGGUAAAGGCUCGCCAAGCCGACGAUCUGUAGCUGGUCUGAGAGGACGACCAGCCACACUGGGACUGAGACACGGCCCAGACUCCUACGGGAGGCAGCAGUGGGGGAAUUUUGGACAAUGGGCGCAAGCCUGAUCCAGCAAUGCCGCGUGCAGGAUGAAGGCCUGGUGUAACU